AUGAACGCUGGCGGCGUGCCUAAUACAUGCAAGUCGAGCGAACAGACGAGGAGCUUGCUCCUCUGACGUUAGCGGCGGACGGGUGAGUAACACGUGGAUAACCUACCUAUAAGACUGGGAUAACUUCGGGAAACCGGAGCUAAUACCGGAUAAUAUAUUGAACCGCAUGGUUCAAUAGUGAAAGACGGUUUUGCUGUCACUUAUAGAUGGAUCCGCGCCGCAUUAGCUAGUUGGUAAGGUAACGGCUUACCAAGGCAACGAUGCGUAGCCGACCUGAGAGGGUGAUCGGCCACACUGGAACUGAGACACGGUCCAGACUCCUACGGGAGGCAGCAGUAGGGAAUCUGCCGCAAUGGGCGAAAGCUUGACGGAGCAACGCCGCGUGAGUGAUGAAGGUCUUCGGAUCGUAAAACUCUGUUAUUAGGGAAGAACAAAUGUGUAAGUAACUAUGCACGUCUGGACGGUACCUAAUCAGAAAGCCACGGCUAACUACGU
rnacentral:rRNA from 1 species